ACUUAAAGGGAUUGACCUGCA
rnacentral:siRNA from 1 species